UAUCUGUUAGAUUGAAUGAAAAGACAUUUGGUAUUAAAAAAUUCACGGUUUAUAUAUUGGAUUAUCGGUUACUCGUUUAUGUUUGACAGUUAUUUAUUCAGUGUCUGACACGUAAACACUUUAUCUACUUAAAAACCGGUUGACACUUCGAUAUCUAGCAUUCAAGGUAAAAAAAGAAGUAAUAUAUUUUUAAACGAGAGAGAAGAUUUUCCAAAAAAUAUCCAAAGCUCUACACUUGCCUCGACUUAAAGUUAGAAAAACUAAAAUACUAGAUGGUACAAAAACCCAUCAGAGAUUGCCCGAAACUCUAGAGAAAUGUGGAAUAUUUGUAUUCGCUUUAAAAAACGAAACUUAAUUAACCUAAUCGUCUGGAAAUAUACACAUAUCUAUGAGAGAUUUCUCAUUCGCCAUUCUACCAGACCGUUCUCCAGAAAAAUUCAUUUCAGCAUCUCGAACGUGCAAGCAUAGACGUGAAAAUAAUAAAGAUCCAAAGGGGAGGGGGGGAGAGACGGUGAGCCAUAUAUCGGAGAAAGUGAAGCCGGUAGUGAAUGCAACACGCGUGGAGACGUGACUGGACCGAGCGUAGUUUCAAGAAUUUCAACUUGAUAUUCCACGCCGCUGGAUGCGAAUAAUUAUCAAACGUAAAACGACGUUAACCAAACUGGACCCACUUGGAUUCCCUUACAAUCACCGGCCGCCGUUAUAUUCCCUUACGAAUAGAGAAAUGUUAUUUGCAUUUGAAAUGCUUCGACCUUUUCGAAUCUGCUGCGCCGUGCGAGAUCUCUGGUUCUCUAGUCGACGCUAGCGCCGUCACAGUUGACUGGAGACGAAACGAAUUUCUCGUUCAACGUUCUACGUGACGCGAUAGACGCGUCGAUCGUCGUUGGAAAGUUGGAUUUGAUCCUUUUUAGAAGAGACUACUAGAUUCGGUUUUUUUUUGUGAUUGGAACAGAGAUUUUGUUUAUUCUUAAGGCAAAGUAGAUUUUAGUAGAUGUUUCUUUAUUUAUUUUUUGUCUUGUCUCGUGCCAAAUGUCGAAAAUUUUAGGUUAAUUGUAAUCGAAUCGAAUAGAUUUGAUUUAGAUUCUGUAUCUGAAUUGUAGAUACUAAAUAUCGUAUUAGAAACGCGAGUGAAAAAGUGUCACGGGUUGGUUGGAGAGAAAGUUAUAAUAAUAAUUCGUGGGAUAAAGAUCGUUCAAGUUAGAAUAAGCGAGGCAGAGAUGCAGCGAAAUAUAUGUGGCGUGACGGAACGAUUCAACUCGUUUUAUUUCGCUUCUAAUUUCGAGACCGAAAUGGGAGGUUUUAUUUAGGAAUUAAUCAAGGAAUUCUCUUAUUCGACUAAUUGGAAAUAGUAAAAUUGAAAAUUCGAAAAGCUUCUUCUAUUUUUUUCUAUUAUAAUUUUAAAUACAAAUUAAUAAAUAAAUUUUUCACAAUAAACGAAAGUACUAACUUGAACUAUCAUUUUUUUAUUCCGUUAAAAUAUACGUCAACAUAAUAAAUAAGCAUGCGACGACAUAAUUGCACGAGAUACAUAUCCAACAAAACUAAAAAUAAUAUACAAAUGAAAAGUAUCGAGGAAUAAAUUUCGUUUGACUUGCAAAAUUCAAUCUCGUAAAAUGAGAUAACGUUAAGUAACAGAGAUUGUAUAAUAAUGAUAAAGACACGAAUAGCACGUAAUUACGAUGCCAAUGUUUCUUCCUAUUUGAAUUUCAUCGAUGCACGUUUUAACAUAAUCGUAAAAUUAAUAUUAAUAAAAAAAAAAAAGAGUUGAAAAAAAAAGAUACACGUGCAAUAAUGUAAUAAUGUUUAAAAUCAUGACUUUCCAUUUCGCGUUGUACAACAAUUCUACGUGAGAAUAUGCAGACGUUCGACAAGCGCGCACGUUCUAAGAUAAGAAUCGUCGAGAGAUUAAGAAUAUUAGAAGAAGAAUCGACAAUAAUCCAAAGUUUCGAGAGCAAUUUAUCUUUUCAUAAAUUAUUCUUUGUAAAUAAAUCGUAUCGAUCGGAAAAUCGGGUCAUCCACAUUUCCCUCGUCGAAAUAAAGAAAAUAUGCGAAUGCGUGUUUACAUAAACGCGAAGAAGGUCGAAAGGUCUGACUCGUAUCUACGAACAACAAGAUUUCAAUACAAGAAAACUAGCGGAAACUUUGGGAAUAUCGCCGUUUGUUUUGGAAUUAAUAUUAAUUGCAAAAUAAUUUAUACAACAUGAAAUACAAAUGUGAAAUAUGUAUUCGAUACGAUUGGAUUCUGUUUCCAGAGAAACGUUGAGAUAUCUUAAUUUCUUUGAAAUUGGAAGAUUAUAACACGAAGAUGCGAUCUGAUCGCUCAUCAACGAAGACACGAAGAACGAACAAUGUAAAACUGGGAGGGAGAGAGA